GGCCUCCUGGAGCUUACCAUAGGCUGUGUUCUUACACUGACUACAGAGAGAGACGGCAAAGUAAACCUACCCUAUAUACACCUCAGCCCAGGCCCUGUGCCUGGUCUGUAUUGUGGAUGGGGAGACAUGG
rnacentral:snoRNA from 1 species